rnacentral:rRNA from 1 species
UACGUAGGGGGCAAGCGUUGUCCGGAAUUACUGGGCGUAAAGAGCGUGUAGGCGGCCAGAAAAGUCCGCUGUGAAAACUCGAGGCUCAACUUCGAGCUGUCGGUGGAAACUUUCUGGCUAGAGUCCGGAAGAGGAGAAUGGAAUUCCUGGUGUAGCGGUGAAAUGCGCAGAUAUCAGGAAGAACACCCGUGGCGAAGGCGGUUCUCUGGGACGGUACUGACGCUGAGACGCGAAAGCGUGGGGAGCGAACAGG